GUGCUCGCUUCGGCAGCACGUAUACUAAAAAUGGAACGAUACGGAGAAAAUUAGCAUGGCCCCUGCACAAGGAUGAGACACAAAUUCGUGAAGCGUUCCAUGUUAAA
rnacentral:snRNA from 1 species